GACGAACGCUGGCGGCGUGCUUAACACAUGCAAGUCGAACGGAAAGGCCCUGCUUUUGUGGGGUGCUCGAGUGGCGAACGGGUGAGUAACACGUGAGUAACCUGCCCUUGACUUUGGGAUAACUUCAGGAAACUGGGGCUAAUACCGGAUAGGAGCUCCUGCUGCAUGGUGGGGGUUGGAAAGUUUCGGCGGUUGGGGAUGGACUCGCGGCUUAUCAGCUUGUUGGUGGGGUAGUGGCUUACCAAGGCUUUGACGGGUAGCCGGCCUGAGAGGGUGACCGGCCACAUUGGGACUGAGAUACGGCCCAGACUCCUACGGGAGGCAGCAGUGGGGAAUAUUGCACAAUGGGCGGAAGCCUGAUGCAGCAACGCCGCGUGCGGGAUGACGGCCUUCGGGUUGUAAACCGCUUUCGCCUGUGACGAAGCGUGAGUGACGGUAAUGGGUAAAGAAGCACCGGCUAACUACGUGCCAGCAGCCGCGGUGAUACGUAGGGUGCGAGCGUUGUCCGGAUUUAUUGGGCGUAAAGGGCUCGUAGGUGGUUGAUCGCGUCGGAAGUGUAAUCUUGGGGCUUAACCCUGAGCGUGCUUUCGAUACGGGUUGACUUGAGGAAGGUUGGGGAGAAUGGAAUUCCUGGUGGAGCGGUGGAAUGCGCAGAUAUCAGGAGGAACACCAGUGGCGAAGGCGGUUCUCUGGGCCUUUCCUGACGCUGAGGAGCGAAAGCGUGGGGAGCGAACAGGCUUAGAUACCCUGGUAGUCCACGCUGUAAACGGUGGGUACUAGGUGUGGGGUCCAUUCCACGGGUUCCGUGCCGUAGCUAACGCUUUAAGUACCCCGCCUGGGGAGUACGGCCGCAAGGCUAAAACUCAAAGGAAUUGACGGGGCCCCGCACAAGCGGCGGAGCAUGCGGAUUAAUUCGAUGCAACGCGUAGAACCUUACCUGGGUUUGACAUGGAUCGGGAGCGCUCAGAGAUGGGUGUGCCUCUUUUGGGGUCGGUUCACAGGUGGUGCAUGGCUGUCGUCAGCUCGUGUCGUGAGAUGUUGGGUUAAGUCCCGCAACGAGCGCAACCCUUGUUCACUGUUGCCAGCACGUUAUGGUGGGGACUCAGUGGAGACCGCCGGGGCCAACUCGGAGGAAGGUGGGGAUGACGUCAAGUCAUCAUGCCCCUUAUGUCCAGGGCUUCACGCAUGCUACAAUGGCUGGUACAGAGAGUGGCGAGCCUGUGAGGGUGAGCGAAUCUCGGAAAGCCGGUCUCAGUUCGGAUUGGGGUCUGCAACUCGACCUCAUGAAGUCGGAGUCGCUAGUAAUCGCAGAUCAGCAACGCUGCGGUGAAUACGUUCCCGGGGCU
rnacentral:rRNA from 1 species